AUUGAACGCUGGCGGCAGGCCUAACACAUGCAAGUCGAGCGGUAGAGAGAAGCUUGCUUCUCUUGAGAGCGGCGGACGGGUGAGUAAUGCCUAGGAAUCUGCCUGGUAGUGGGGGAUAACGUUCGGAAACGGACGCUAAUACCGCAUACGUCCUACGGGAGAAAGCAGGGGACCUUCGGGCCUUGCGCUAUCAGAUGAGCCUAGGUCGGAUCAGCUAGUUGGUGAGGUAAUGGCUCACCAAGGCGACGAUCCGUAACUGGUCUGAGAGGGUGAUCAGUCACACUGGAACUGAGACACGGUCCAGACUCCUACGGGAGGCAGCAGUGGGGAAUAUUGGACAAUGGGCGAAAGCCUGAUCCAGCCAUGCCGCGUGUGUGAAGAAGGUCUUCGGAUUGUAAAGCACUUUAAGUUGGGAGGAAGGGUUGUAGAUUAAUACUCUGCAAUUUUGACGUUACCGACAGAAUAAGCACCGGCUAACUCUGUGCCAGCAGCCGCGGUAAUACAGAGGGUGCAAGCGUUAAUCGGAAUUACUGGGCGUAAAGCGCGCGUAGGUGGUUUGUUAAGUUGGAUGUGAAAUCCCCGGGCUCAACCUGGGAACUGCAUUCAAAACUGACUGACUAGAGUAUGGUAGAGGGUGGUGGAAUUUCCUGUGUAGCGGUGAAAUGCGUAGAUAUAGGAAGGAACACCAGUGGCGAAGGCGACCACCUGGACUAAUACUGACACUGAGGUGCGAAAGCGUGGGUAGCAAACAGG
rnacentral:rRNA from 1 species